rnacentral:rRNA from 1 species
UACGGGGGGCGGAAGCAGUUGUUCGGUGAAUUACUGGGCGUAAAGAGCUCGUAGGCGGUUUGUCGCGUCGUCUGUGAAAUUCUGCAACUCAAUUGUAGGCGUGCAGGCGAUACGGGCAGACUAGAGUGUGGUAGGGGAGACUGGAAUUCCUGGUGUAGCGGUGAAAUGCGCAGAUAUCAGGAGGAACACCGGUGGCGAAGGCGGGUCUCUGGGCCGAUACUGACGCUGAGGAGCGAAAGCGUGGGGAGCGAACAGG